GCCUGAAUCAGUGUGUGUGUUAGUGGAAGCGUCUGGAAAGGCGCGCGAUACAGGGUGACAGCCCCGUACACAAAAAUGCACAUGCUGUGAGCUCGAUGAGUAGGGCGGGACACGUGGUAUCCUGUCUGAAUAUGGGGGGACCAUCCUCCAAGGCUAAAUACUCCUGACUGACCGAUAGUGAACCAGUACCGUGAGGGAAAGGCGAAAAGAACCCCGGCGAGGGGAGUGAAAAAGAACCUGAAACCGUGUACGUACAAGCAGUGGGAGCACAGAGCAAUCUGUGUGACUGCGUACCUUUUGUAUAAUGGGUCAGCGACUUAUAUUCUGUAGCAAGGUUAACCGAAUAGGGGAGCCGAAGGGAAACCGAGUCUUAACCGGGCGUUAAGUUGCAGGGUAUAGACCCGAAACCCGGUGAUCUAGCCAUGGGCAGGUUGAAGGUUGGGUAACACUAACUGGAGGACCGAACCGACUAAUGUUGAAAAAUUAGCGGAUGACUUGUGGCUGGGGGUGAAAGGCCAAUCAAACCGGGAGAUAGCUGGUUCUCCCCGAAAGCUAUUUAGGUAGCGCCUCGUGAAUUCAUCUCCGGGGGUAGAGCACUGUUUCGGCAAGGGGGUCAUCCCGACUUACCAACCCGAUGCAAACUGCGAAUACCGGAGAAUGUUAUCACGGGAGACACACGGCGGGUGCUAACGUCCGUCGUGAAGAGGGAAACAACCCAGACCGCCAGCUAAGGUCCCAAAGUCAUGGUUAAGUGGGAAACGAUGUGGGAAGGCCCAGACAGCCAGGAUGUUGGCUUAGAAGCAGCCAUCAUUUAAAGAAAGCGUAAUAGCUCACUGGUCGAGUCGGCCUGCGCGGAAGAUGUAACGGGGCUAAACCAUGCACCGAAGCUGCGGCAGCGACACUGUGUGUUGUUGGGUAGGGGAGCGUUCUGUAAGCCUGUGAAGGUGUGCUGUGAGGCAUGCUGGAGGUAUCAGAAGUGCGAAUGCUGACAUAAGUAACGAUAAAGCGGGUGAAAAGCCCGCUCGCCGGAAGACCAAGGGUUCCUGUCCAACGUUAAUCGGGGCAGGGUGAGUCGACCCCUAAGGCGAGGCCGAAAGGCGUAGUCGAUGGGAAACAGGUUAAUAUUCCUGUACUUGGUGUUACUGCGAAGGGGGGACGGAGAAGGCUAUGUUGGCCGGGCGACGGUUGUCCCGGUUUAAGCGUGUAGGCUGGUUUUCCAGGCAAAUCCGGAAAAUCAAGGCUGAGGCGUGAUGACGAGGCACUACGGUGCUGAAGCAACAAAUGCCCUGCUUCCAGGAAAAGCCUCUAAGCAUCAGGUAACAUCAAAUCGUACCCCAAACCGACACAGGUGGUCAGGUAGAGAAUACCAAGGCGCUUGAGAGAACUCGGGUGAAGGAACUAGGCAAAAUGGUGCCGUAACUUCGGGAGAAGGCACGCUGAUAUGUAGGUGAAGUCCCUCGCGGAUGGAGCUGAAAUCAGUCGAAGAUACCAGCUGGCUGCAACUGUUUAUUAAAAACACAGCACUGUGCAAACACGAAAGUGGACGUAUACGGUGUGACGCCUGCCCGGUGCCGGAAGGUUAAUUGAUGGGGUCAGCGCAAGCGAAGCUCUUGAUCGAAGCCCCGGUAAACGGCGGCCGUAACUAUAACGGUCCUAAGGUAGCGAAAUUCCUUGUCGGGUAAGUUCCGACCUGCACGAAUGGCGUAAUGAUGGCCAGGCUGUCUCCACCCGAGACUCAGUGAAAUUGAACUCGCUGUGAAGAUGCAGUGUACCCGCGGCAAGACGGAAAGACCCCGUGAACCUUUACUAUAGCUUGACACUGAACAUUGAGCCUUGAUGUGUAGGAUAGGUGGGAGGCUUUGAAGUGUGGACGCCAGUCUGCAUGGAGCCGACCUUGAAAUACCACCCUUUAAUGUUUGAUGUUCUAACGUGGACCCGUGAUCCGGGUUGCGGACAGUGUCUGGUGGGUAGUUUGACUGGGGCGGUCUCCUCCUAAAGAGUAACGGAGGAGCACGAAGGUUGGCUAAUCCUGGUCGGACAUCAGGAGGUUAGUGCAAUGGCAUAAGCCAGCUUGACUGCGAGCGUGACGGCGCGAGCAGGUGCGAAAGCAGGUCAUAGUGAUCCGGUGGUUCUGAAUGGAAGGGCCAUCGCUCAACGGAUAAAAGGUACUCCGGGGAUAACAGGCUGAUACCGCCCAAGAGUUCAUAUCGACGGCGGUGUUUGGCACCUCGAUGUCGGCUCAUCACAUCCUGGGGCUGAAGUAGGUCCCAAGGGUAUGGCUGUUCGCCAUUUAAAGUGGUACGCGAGCUGGGUUUAGAACGUCGUGAGACAGUUCGGUCCCUAUCUGCCGUGGGCGCUGGAGAACUGAGGGGGGCUGCUCCUAGUACGAGAGGACCGGAGUGGACGCAUCACUGGUGUUCGGGUUGUCAUGCCAAUGGCACUGCCCGGUAGCUAAAUGCGGAAGAGAUAAGUGCUGAAAGCAUCUAAGCACGAAACUUGCCCCGAGAUGAGUUCU
rnacentral:rRNA from 1 species